AAGUGUUGUACCUGAAUAUAGUCUCACUGGGGCCUCCAAAUGUUGUACCUGAGCGAGUUAGAGAAAAUGCCACACUUUGAGAUGAAUUAAGAGUCCGUUUAUUU
rnacentral:pre_miRNA from 1 species